CACAGAGCCCCCGAGCGUUAUCCGGAUUUAUUGGGCGUAAAGCGUCCGUAGCCGGUUUGGAAAGUCUCUAGUUAAAGCCUGAGGGCUCAACCUUCAGAAUGCUAGGGAAACUUCCAGACUAGAGGGCGUCAGAGGCUGAUAGAACUCUUGGUGGAGGGGUGAAAUCCGUUGAUAUCAAGAGGAAUACCAAAUGCGAAGGCAUUCAGCUGGGGCGAUCCUGACGGUGAGGGACGAAAGCGUGGGGCGAGAACGGG
rnacentral:misc_RNA from 1 species